UGCAACUCUUCGGAAAGGUGCA
rnacentral:siRNA from 1 species